AGCGAGCAUCAGCGUGAAGUUCACUAGUCAAAGCAAAAGGCGUGUUUCUUGUUUACGGAAAAAAAUAAUUGAUUUUGUUGGUCUUCGUCAACCGCUGCCUUCGCCGAAUUCUCGGCAUAUACUGGCCUGAGAAAAUCUCCAACGUCGAGCUAUUGGAACGCUGCCACGAAAUUCCGAUCAACCAGCAGAUCAAGCGCCGCAAGUGGAACUGGAUUGGCCACACUCUCCGAAGGGAUCCCGAUCACAUCUCCAAGCAGGCUCUGGAUUGGAACUCCCAAGGAAAACGCAAACGUGGUCGCCCCAAGCAAACUUGGGGGCGCACUGUGGCAGACGAGGCGAAGAAGAUCGGCAAGACUUGGAACGAGAUCAAACGCGUAGCUCAAGACCGAACGCGAUGGAGGACUGUUGUGGACGCCCUCUGCCCCAUCUAGGGGACAUAGGACCAUAAGUAAAGUAUUCAUUUAAUACGAUCAACAUGGAAAACUAUAAAAGUGAAAAGAAGAGGAAGUCGAAAAACAAAUUAAAAGAGGAUAGUAUAACUUAUAAAAAAUAUAAUGAAAAGGCUAAUGCAAGGAAGCGCAAGUUUUUAUAUGUAUAAAAUAACACCUGAACAAAGAGAUAUGAAGAGACUGAAAGAUAAUGUUAACAUAAUUCCUAAUAUCUGUUUAUUUUAAAACAAAGUGUAUAUUUUGAUUUUUAAGCAUUGAUAUGCAAGAAAAUCUCAAUGAUACUGCAAUUAGCA